CAGUCGCCGCGGGAAUACGAAGGGUGCAAGCGUUAAUCGGAAUUACUGGGCGUAAAGCGUGCGUAGGCGGUGAGUUAAGUCUGCUGUGAAAUCCCCGGGCUCAACCUGGGAAUGGCAGUGGAUACUGGCUCGCUAGAGUGUGUCAGAGGAUGGUGGAAUUCCCGGUGUAGCGGAGAAAUGCGUAGAGAUCGGGAGGAACAUCAGUGGCGAAGGCGGCCAUCUGGGACAACACUGACGCUGAGGCACGAAAGCGUGGGGAGCAAACAGGAUUAGAUACCCCUGUAGUCCCUGUCUCUUAUAC
rnacentral:rRNA from 1 species